AUCGAACGCUGGCGGCAGGCCUAACACAUGCAAGUCGAACGAGUGGCGGACGGGUGAGUAAUGUCUGGGAAACUGCCUGAUGGAGGGGGAUAACUACUGGAAAUGGUAGCUAAUACCGCAUACCAUCGGAUGUGCCCAGAUGGGAUUAGCUAGUGGGUGGGGUAAAGGCUCACCUAGGAGACGAUCCCUAGCUGGUCUGAGGGGAUGACCCGCCACACUGGAACUGAGCCACGGUCCGGACUCCUACGGGAGGCAGCAGUGGGGAAUAUUGCGCAAUGGGCACAAGCCUGGUGCGGCCAUGCCGCGUGUAUGAAGAAGGCCUUCGGGUUGUAAGGUACUUUCAGCAGGGAGGCGUUACCCGCAGAAGAAGCACCGGCUAACUCCGUGCCAGCAGCCGCGGUAAUAC
rnacentral:rRNA from 1 species